CACCGCGGUUAUACGAGAGACCCGAGUUGUUAGACGCCGGCGUAAAGUGUGGUUAAGACUUAAACGAAGCUAAAGCCGAACGCCUUCAAAGCUGUUAUACGCAUCCGAAGGUAAGAAGACCAAUUACGAAAGUAGCUUUACUCUAUCUGACUCCACGAAAGCCAGGGAA
rnacentral:rRNA from 1 species